AUGAGAAAUUGUGCCCCGAUGAACUUGCAAAACACUGGGUGAUAAUGUUGGUGUGAUGUUGUAGCAUUUGUUAGAUACAUUUUAUACUGUCUUGCGAAAAAGUAUUUAGGAUUGACUUUUGCUUUUAUUUUACUUACUAGGAAUCUAUGCUGUAAUAUCAUUGUCAGAAAUAUUUUGGAUAAUGACCAUAUGCUAUUUGCAUAGAUAUUCAAUAGCUGUGCUGCAUCAAGGGAAAAAUAAUUGCCCUUACAAAGAAACAGUUGCCUUACAAUUGGCGUCAAUUAGUUAAUUGUUAAAAUAUAUGUCACAUUUUAUGAGUAAAAAGCCCCUUAGUCAUUAUUCAGAUUGGGAAUUUCAAGAACAGCUCUAGAAAUUAAGAUUAAAGAGCAUUCCAAAGAAGAUAAAUGUUAUGUAAUGCAAAUGGCUAAAAUAGGAAGAGAGUGUGAAGCAAUAACUGUUCCAACAGUGCUUACUAGGGCAUACACGAUUAGUUUUCAGGAAUCGGAAGCUAUGUCAGUCCACCUACAUACUACUGUACUAGAUUAGGUCAUCCCCUAUGUUUCUUUGCAAAGAAGAAGUAGAUUUCCUCGUCACCCAUGGAACAGAGUAAAGCUGAGCACACUCCUUCUUUUGUUCAGAUAGCCUGGUGCACAGUGUAAGAGGGUACGGCAACCCCCAAAUACGACAAUUGUGCAGAGAUACACUGGCACACAAGGCAAUUAAAGUGCAGGGUUACCCCUUGCGGUUUAUUUUGUGCGAACGUGCAACGUUUCGGGGCAAGCCCCUUUAUCAAGCAUCAAUUGGCGUCAAUUAGUUAAUUGUUAAAAUAUAUGUCACAUUUUAUGAGUAAAAAGCCCCUUAGUCAUUAUUCAGAUUGGGAAUUUCAAGAACAGCUCUAGAAAUUAAGAUUAAAGAGCAUUCCAAAGAAGAUAAAUGUUAUGUAAUGCAAAUGGCUAAAAUAGGAAGAGAGUGUGAAGCAAUAACUGUUCCAACAGUGCUUACUAGGGCAUACACGAUUAGUUUUCAGGAAUUGGAAGCUAUGUCAGUCCACCUACAUACUACUGUACUAGAUUAGGUCAUCCCCUAUGUUUCUUUGCAAAGAAGAAGUAGAUUUCCUCGUCACCCAUGGCCCAGCAUUCACCAACAGGUUAAUCCUCCUGACAGACGCAUGGAGCAGGGAAUGUCGGGCAAAACACCUCACCCCAAAGGGAAAAGCCUUCCUGCCUUAGAGAAGAAGGACAAGACGCCUGAAAAAACAACUCCAGCUGUUCAAGUAUAGGAAGACAUGGGAGCGUCAUCUUAUCAAGGAAACCAAGCCUUUGCGGAGUCUUUGGCAGCAGUCAUUAAGCAGGCAGUUGUGCAAGAUUUCCAGGAAGCUUCAAUAUAUUAAGAUAGCAAAUCACGAAAAACAGCAAAGAGCAGAAUACCUGCUAUUCAAUCUUUAUUGUGCAUUCCACACAACAUGUUUCGGGCAGCAAGUGCCCUUUCUCAAGCUUUCCAGGAAGCAUCAACUUCAAAAAAGAGGCCAAGACAUGCUUAUACUAGACAAACAGAUUCCUUAUCUGAAGUUUCAGAAGGAGAAUUGUCAGAGACAUCGGAUGUGCAGUCUCUGUUAGGUUCUGAUGAAGGGGAGAUCGAGAUUGAAGAGGAUUCCAAUUUUUAUCUAGCAGUGAUUGAGCCGCUGAUAAAAGCAGUAAGGCAAACACUGACUUUCCCUGUUGAACCGUCUAAGAUGUCGUCAGCUGAUAAGCUGUUUCCAUCGUUGAAAAAGAGGUCAAUGUGUUUUCCGGUUCAUGGUCCAAUAAAGGAAAUUAUUGCAGCAGAAUGGAAAAAAACGGAGAAGAGACCCCAGACUGCA